CAGCUUCUGCUCCUAACUGAU
rnacentral:siRNA from 1 species